rnacentral:misc_RNA from 1 species
UCUCCGUAGGUGAACCUGCGGAGGGAUCAUUACAGAGUUCGUGCCCUCACGGGUAGAUCUCCCACCCUUGUGUAUUCUCUACAUCUUGUUGCUUUGGCAGGCCGUUGGUUCGCCAACCACCGGCUCGCGGGCUGGUGCGUGCCUGCCAGAGGACCUCUCAAACUCGGUUUGUCAGUGUCGUCUGAGUACCAUAACAAUCGUUAAAACUUUCAACAACGGAUCUCUUGGUUCUG